GAUUUUUCUGGACUUUGGCUUGG
rnacentral:piRNA from 1 species